UACGGAGGAUGCAAGCGUUAUCCGGAUUCAUUGGGUUUAAAGGGUGCGCAGGCGGAUUAGUAAGUCAGUGGUGAAAGCCUACAGCUUAACUGUAGAACUGCCGUUGAUACUGCUAAUCUUGAGUGUAGUUGAGGUAGGCGGAAUGUGUCAUGUAGCGGUGAAAUGCUUAGAUAUGACACAGAACACCGAUCGUGAAGACAGCUUACCAAGCUACAACUGACGCUCAUGCACGAAAGCGUGGGGAUCAAACAGG
rnacentral:rRNA from 1 species